CGACCCAGUGAUGCACAUCCUGUUGAAAUCAGAACGCGGUGACUUCUAUGUGCUGGAGACCAUGCUUGCUCAUUCACACACAACCUGACCUAUGAGCAAGAGCAGAGCAGCUCCUGCUGUCCAAGACCUAGCCUGACACCAUCAACUAAGCCUUGAAAUUCUGCUGGCAUAACAUAAGCUCUCACAGAACCUCCACAUUGGGCAGGACCACUUUGAUGAGGGUGGAUCAAGACAACAACCAGACCCUUCUGUGGCCUCGGUGGAACACACCCAGAAAUGUGUGGCAUUUGAGGAAAGACUGGACGGUUAGGAUGGUCUGGUUCCUGAGACUUUGAUGCAUGCGGAACAGCCAGGCUCUGAGGUAGUUUUGACUUGGGCUUCACUCGCAAAUGAACAAGACUUGACCAGUGCAGCUACCUUGCUGAGUUAUUAUGAGGAUU